rnacentral:rRNA from 1 species
GAUGAACGCUGGCGGCGUGCCUAAUACAUGCAAGUCGAGCGAACAGAUGAGGAGCUUGCUCCUCUGACGUUAGCGGCGGACGGGUGAGUAACACGUGGAUAACCUACCUAUAAGACUGGGAUAACUUCGGGAAACCGGAGCUAAUACCGGAUAAUAUAUUGAACCGCAUGGUUCAAUAGUGAAAGACGGUUUUGCUGUCACUUAUAGAUGGAUCCGCGCCGCAUUAGCUAGUUGGUAAGGUAACGGCUUACCAAGGCAACGAUGCGUAACCGACCUGGGGGGGGGAUCGGCCACACUGGAACUGAGACCCGGGCCAGACUCCGAAGGGAGGCAGCAGUGGGGAAUCUUCCGCAAUGGGCGAAAGCCUGAGGGAGACACGCCGCGGGGGUGAAGAAGGUCUUCGGAUUGUAAAACUCUUUUAUUGGGGAAGAAAAAAUGUAAAAGAAAACCUUGCCGUUUUGACGGUACCAACAGAAAAAGCCCCGGCUAACUACGG